UACGUAGGGUGCAAGCGUUGUCCGGAAUUAUUGGGCGUAAAGAGCUCGUAGGCGGUUUGUCGCGUCUGCUGUGAAAACUCGGGGCUUAACCCCGGGCCUGCAGUGGGUACGGGCAGACUAGAGUGCGGUAGGGGAGACUGGAAUUCCUGGUGUAGCGGUGAAAUGCGCAGAGAUCAGGAGGAACACCGGUGGCGAAGGCGGGUCUCUGGGCCGUAACUGACGCUGAGGAGCGAAAGCGUGGGGAGCGAACAGG
rnacentral:rRNA from 1 species